CUUACAGGUUUGUUUCAGAAAGCACAACUCCUUUGGAGAACUCAUCAUGGCUCAGACCCUGCUGUUCUUGGUGCUUCUCAAUUACUAUGCUGGUGUCCACUCUCAGGGGAUAUUGUCUCAGCUGGCUUCAACAUCUGAGUCCCUGGGACAGACAGUCACACUCUCCUGCACCAAAAGCAGUGGAAGCUGGAGCAGCUAUGUUAACUGGAUUCAACAAAAAUCUGGAGAAGCCCCUCGCUUUGUCCACUGCAGCGGAUGCAGCAGCAGGGGACCAGGGAUCCCAGAUCGGUUCACAGCGACUGCUUCUGGGAACACGGGCACUUUAACCAUUACUAAUGUCCAGGCUGAAGACGAGGCCGAUUACUACUGUUUGUGUUAUUACAGCACAGGCAGCUCGAACCUCGCGAAGAAAACUUCACAGGCAGGCGAUCUUACAAUGCAAGAAAUCGUGUACUCGCUGGUGUGUUUGCCUUCCACGCGAGAUGACGUAUGA